UACGGAGGGGGCGAGCGUUAUUCGGAAUUACUGGGCGUAAAGCGUGCGCAGGCGGCUUUGCAAGACAGAUGUGAAAUCCCCGGGCUUAACCUGGGAACUGCAUUUGUGACUGCAUGGCUGGAGUGCGGCAGAGGGGGAUGGAAUUCCGCGUGUAGCAGUGAAAUGCGUAGAUAUGCGGAGGAACACCGAUGGCGAAGGCAAUCCCCUGGGCCUGCACUGACGCUCAUGCACGAAAGCGUGGGGAGCAAACAGG
rnacentral:rRNA from 1 species